rnacentral:tRNA from 1 species
UGGAGUUUGACUUGGUGGUAAAGUACUUGCCUGGCAUGCAUGAGGCCCUAGGUUCAAUUCCUAGCACUGCAA